CCGUUUACCAAAAAUCUCGCAUGGGUAUUUAAACGUUAUAACCCGACUUCACAAACAUUAGGGUUUCUUUCAUUCUCUUUCCGCCGCUUCUUCUAUGGCGAUCAACUUUCAGACUUUUCAUCAAGGUUUCCAUUCAAGCAAUUCAUUCGUCUGUACCUCAAAGAUUAAAAAAGGAAUGAAAUCAAGGGAGAUGAAGACGUGUGUUAGAGUUUUCAUCCUUCAAUCCGGCGAUUAGGGUUUUCAUCCUUCUUUUACAAUCAAACAAUCCAAGAUAUGAAGUUUCGGAUACUCAUUAGUGUCUAAACUGAGAAAGAUAUUGAAAUAAAGGUAGUUUUAAUUUAUCAGAAAUGUUGAGAAACUGGCUCAUGAUUCUGCUACUCCUAUCUAUCAGAAUAAUCUGGAAGAUGUUGGAAUUUGGGAUGAUAGCGUUCAGAUCUAACGUAAUAUUAUUCGUAUUUGAAGACUUUAGCGAUUAACAUGUCAAAGAUGGCAUAUACCUUGCUUUCAUCGAUCCUAAUUAGAUUCCGCGAUUUUAUUGGAUUGCAUAUGCUCUGCAGUGUUCACCAUCGCUAGAACUAUCUACAAUUUGCUUUUAAUCUUUACAAGUGAGUGUUAAUUUCGAAAUUGUCUUAUGUGCUUUAAUGGUUUAUGGCACCGAUAGUACAUUCCAGGCUGGGAUUUCUUGCUAUUUAUGUUCCCUUUCUUCACCUUCAUUGCUUUGCCUCUCGGAGAAUGUUCUCUGAUGCUGAAGGCGUCUUUAUCUGUACUUUUAUCGUACUAUCAGCCUUAUCAGGUGUUUGAUAAAUAACAUUGCCUCUCUCGCCAUGGUUCUAGACAAGUAAUUCCCCCUCCCUCCCAUUCUUACACACGUAGGCGUUUACUUUGUUUGCCGGUAACCGGAGGUCUGGUAUCUUUUACAUCGUUACUUGGUUGGCAUUUAUAUUAAGUAAAUAUACAUCAGAUUACUUUUCAGUUUUCCAAAAUUGGUAGCCCAAUUGUCACAAAAUCAUUAGCGUUGUAGACCGUCAUGCUGCCAUGAGAAAUUGGUAUCGUCAAAGUUUAAGGUAUCUCGCUUUUGCUGUGUUCAAGGUUCAUGUUUUGAUGCUAACAAAUUAUUCUUCAAUUGCGCCUCUUUGUACUGUUUUUCAACUGAUGCUAACAUAAAUGCAUAUCUUCCUAUUGUGUUACCCAUGCCUUUAAGGUGUUCGAUAAAAUGCCUAUAGUUUCUUUUGAUAUUAUUUUGUUAAACAUUGUUGUUCCAACCUUUGGCAUAUAUUUCUAUGAAUUUAUUUUGUUUGUAUUUUUAUAUAUCUUGACGUAUUUCUAGGUCUAAACUGGUCCCAUCUUCAUCUUCCUCUUUAUGGAAAGAAAGCAUACAUAGGUUUCAAUGGCUAUUGCUUUGAUUUCAAAGUGAGCAACAAUUGCUUCGUUUGAGGAUCAGAAAAGGCACAUCCUUGAGUUCAUGGGAUGCAAGUGAUAAAUCAUUGCUCAUGUCUGCCAUGAGUUGCAUUGCUGCAAUAACACUACUUUAUUAUUGACAUAGUGUUUAGUAGAUUAAUUUAUUGACAUAGUGUUCAGUAGAUUAAUUUAUAAGUGUAUUUUGUUACAUUUAGCUUUAACUUCAUUGUAGUCACAACUCUACCAUGGCAUUGCAUCCAAUUUUUAAGUUGAAUAUUUAAUGUAAUGGACACAUGGAGUUGCAUGAGAUUGAAUGUUUAAGAUUUAA